rnacentral:lncRNA from 12 species
GGCUGAUUAUCAGCACGGGAACGAGGCUCGGGAGCUAAUUGAAGCCAUCCAGCAAAAUGUCAGCGCCUUCUUGGGGUAUGAAAUAUUAAUCGCACCCAGGCCCCGACCGGAGACAGAGGUUUGUUUGCACCUUCUCUCACGUGGCCGAGUGACCGGUGAGACUCCUGUCCCUGCGACGAGGUCAGAGCCCCCUGCUCCCUGGGGCCCUGGCCCUCUGGCUGCGGCUGGCUUACACUGCGGCCCCUCUCCCAGUCCACUUCCAGAGAAGAGGGAGAUCCCUCUGGCAACCCACGUGCUCCCCUCCUCCAGCCAGCUCCAGUCACGGUGGCAUGCAGGAUGGGAUGGUUCCAGGUGCAGUGGCCAGCCCCCGCCAGGGCUGAUGUCUCGUCUCCACUGACUGGGGCCCAGGAGCCUGUCUUUCUGGGGCCAGGAGGAGUCCAGCUGGGACCCUGUCUGCACGCCAGCGCAGAAAGCCCAACAGGACCAAGGCCCAGUGGACACCCCCAUCU